rnacentral:rRNA from 1 species
UGGGGAAUCUUCCGCAAUGGGCGAAAGCCUGACGGAGCAAUACCGCGUGAGGGAGGAAUGCCUUUGGGUUGUAAACCUCUUUUCUCAGGGAAGAAGAUCUGACGGUACCUGAGGAAUAAGUAUCGGCUAACUCCGUGCCAGCAGCCGCGGUAAUACGGAGGAUGCAAGCGUUAUCCGGAAUCAUUGGGCGUAAAGCGUCCGCAGGUGGUCUCCAAAGUCUGCUGUUAAAGACUGGAGCUCAACUCCGGAACGGCGGUGGAAACUUGGAAACUAGAGUUCGGUAGGGGUAGCAGGAAUUCCCAGUGUAGCGGUGAAAUGCGUAGAUAUUGGGAAGAACAUCGGUGGCGAAGGCGUGCUACUGGACCGUAACUGACACUCAGGGACGAAAGCUAGGGGAGCGAAAGGGAUUAGAUACCCCUGUAGUCCUAGCUGUAAACGAUGGAAACUAGGUGUGGCU